CAGCCGUGCGGUAAGCACAUAGCGAACUAUUCUUUCGCCUUUUACUGAAGAAUACCGUGUGCUUGCCGCUUCUAAGUGGCGUGGUUUCUAUUUUCUAAUUAAAGAGGAACCCAACAUUUCUCG